rnacentral:pre_miRNA from 12 species
GCUCGGAUGAAUAUAAUACAACCUGCUAAGUGUCCUAGCACUUAUCAGGCUGUAUUAUCAUUGUCCGUGUC